GAUGAACGCUAGCGGGCAAGGCUUAACACAUGCAAGGUCGAGGGGCAACACGGGUAGCAAUACCUGGGUGGCGACCGGCGCAAGGGUGCGUAACGCGUGAGCAACAUGCCCUAUACAGGGGGAUAAUCCAGGGAAACUUGGUCUAAUAUCCCAUAGUAUUUAGAGGUGGCAUCACCACUAAAUUAAAGCUUCGGUGGUAUAGGAUUGGCUCGCGUGACAUUAGCUGGAUGGUGGGGUAACGGCUCACCAUGGCGAUGAUGUCUAGGGGUUCUGAGAGGAAGACCCCCCACACUGGGACUGAGACACGGUCCAAACUCCUACGGGAGGCAGCAGUGAGGAAUAUUGGUCAAUGGCCGGAAGGCUGAACCAGCCAAGUAGCGUGCAGGAUGACUGCCUUAUGGGUUGUAAACUGCUUUUUUACGGGAAUAAUUAUGAUCACGUGUGAUUAUUUGCAUGUACCGUAAGAAUAAGGAUCGGCUAACUCCGUG
rnacentral:rRNA from 1 species